rnacentral:rRNA from 1 species
AUUGAACGCUGGCGGCAUGCUUUACACAUGCAAGUCGAACGGCAGCACGGGGGCAACCCUGGUGGCGAGUGGCGAACGGGUGAGUAAUGCAUCGGAACGUGUCCUUAAGUGGGGGAUAACGCAUCGAAAGAUGCGCUAAUACCGCAUAAUCUCUAAAGGAGAAAAGCAGGGGAUCGCAAGGCCUUGCGCUUUUGGAGCGGCCGAUGUCUGAUUAGCAGUUGGUGAGGUAAAGGCUUACCAAGGCUUCGAUCAGUAGCUGGUCUGGGAGGACGACCAGCCACACUGGGACUGAGACACGGCCCAGACUCCUACGGGAGGCAGCAGUGGGAAUUUUGGACAAUGGGGGAAACCCUGAUCCAGCCAUGCCGCGUGAGUGAAGAA